ensembl:snRNA U6 U6 spliceosomal RNA
CUGCUCAUUUUGGCAGCACAUAUACUAAAACUGAAAUUAUAUAGAAUUUAGCACUACCCUGUGCAAGGAUGACACUCAAAUUCUUAAAGUAUUUCAUAUUUUU